UACAGAGGGUGCAAGCGUUGUUCGGAUUCACUGGGCGUAAAGGGUGCGCAGGUGGGUUUGCAAGUUCGAUGUGAAAGCCCCGGGCUUAACCCGGGAAUGGCAUUGGAUACUGCAGAUCUGGAGGAUCGGAGGGGGGACUGGAAUUCUUGGUGUAGCAGUGAAAUGCGUAGAUAUCAAGAGGAACACCAGUGGCGAAGGCGAGUCCCUGGACGAUACCUGACACUGAGGCACGAAAGCUAGGGGAGCAAACAGG
rnacentral:rRNA from 1 species